UCCUGUCUGAAUAUGGGGGGACCAUCCUCCAAGGCUAAAUACUCCUGACUGACCGAUAGUGAACCAGUACCGUGAGGGAAAGGCGAAAAGAACCCCGGCGAGGGGAGUGAAAAAGAGCCUGAAACCGUGUACGUACAAGCAGUGGGAGCACCCUUCGGGGUGUGACUGCGUACCUUUUGUAUAAUGGGUCAGCGACUUAUAUUCUGUAGCAAGGUUAACCGUAUAGGGGAGCCGGAGGGAAACCGAGUCUUAAUUGGGCGUUAAGUUGCAGGGUAUAGACCCGAAACCCGGUGAUCUAGCCAUGGGCAGGUUGAAGGUUGGGUAACACUAACUGGAGGACCGAACCGACUAAUGUUGAAAAAUUAGCGGAUGACCUGUGGCUGGGGGUGAAAGGCCAAUCAAACCGGGAGAUAGCUGGUUCUCCCCGAAAGCUAUUUAGGUAGCGCCUCGUGAAUUCAUCUCCGGGGGUAGAGCACUGUUUCGGCUAGGGGGCCAUCCCGGCUUACCAACCCGAUGCAAACUGCGAAUACCGGAGAAUGUUAUCACGGGAGACACACGGCGGGUGCUAACGUCCGUCGUGAAGAGGGAAACAACCCAGACCGCCAGCUAAGGUCCCAAAGUCAUGGUUAAGUGGGAAACGAUGUGGGAAGGCCCAGACAGCCAGGAUGUUGGCUUAGAAGCAGCCAUCAUUUAAAGAAAGCGUAAUAGCUCACUGGUCGAGUCGGCCUGCGCGGAAGAUGUAACGGGGCUAAACCAUGCACCGAAGCUGCGGCAGCGAACGUAUCACCCAAGACAACUUUACGGAGUUGACGAUUGACGGAGCGAAGCGACGUCAAAGCGUUCAUUAAAGUCGAGUUGGCUUAGGGAUACGUUCGUUGGGUAGGGGAGCGUUCUGUAAGCCUGUGAAGGUGUGUCGUGAGGCAUGCUGGAGGUAUCAGAAGUGCGAAUGCUGACAUAAGUAACGAUAAAGCGGGUGAAAAGCCCGCUCGCCGGAAGACCAAGGGUUCCUGUCCAACGUUAAUCGGGGCAGGGUGAGUCGACCCCUAAGGCGAGGCCGAAAGGCGUAGUCGAUGGGAAACGGGUUAAUAUUCCCGUACUUGGUGUUACUGCGAAGGGGGGACGGAGAAGGCUAUGUUGGCCGGGCGACGGUUGUCCCGGUUUAAGCGUGUAGGUGUGUGUUCCAGGUAAAUCCGGUUCACUUUAACACUGAGGCGUGACGACGAGGCACUACGGUGCUGAAGCAACAAAUGCCCUGCUUCCAGGAAAAGCCUCUAAGCAUCAGGUAACAUCAAAUCGUACCCCAAACCGACACAGGUGGUCAGGUAGAGAAUACCAAGGCGCUUGAGAGAACUCGGGUGAAGGAACUAGGCAAAAUGGUGCCGUAACUUCGGGAGAAGGCACGCUGACACGUAGGUGAAGUGAUUUACUCAUGGAGCUGAAGUCAGUCGAAGAUACCAGCUGGCUGCAACUGUUUAUUAAAAACACAGCACUGUGCAAACACGAAAGUGGACGUAUACGGUGUGACGCCUGCCCGGUGCCGGAA
rnacentral:rRNA from 1 species